rnacentral:lncRNA from 1 species
UCCGUCUCGAACAGACGCAAACGGUGGCACCGAAACGCGACGUGACGCCCUUCAUGGCUUUCUCCCGCAUUUUAUGUCACCGGUGUCAAAGCCCCGUGUUCUCUUCCGGCGCUAGAGGAAGACAUGCCUUCUUUUUCGGCUGUUACGCAGAAGAACACUGCAUCAAUUUCACGCCCGCCUUUGGUUCCAGAGGCUCAUCACGUCUUUUGCAACAACUCGCAAGAGAUCGUUACAACUUUACGGAACAGAUGAACAGAGGGGCACCCAACUAAUCAAUAUCACGGAUAAGCGUACAAGAAAAAGAGUGACCAUCACUUCCUUCCAAGCAGCAAAGAAGAUAAAAGGACUGACUGGUGCAGCUGAUGAGGCAGCCGGAGGCGAUUUGCUCUGAAAGAGUGUGACUACGCCCAGGACUUCUCAUCAGCGGAUAGAAGAGAGGAGAAAAAAAGUCUAAAAGAAAGGCGGGAGGCCAGCGAGGUUAAGCCCGGCAGGCUGCCCUGCACUAGGGAAGGAGGAAAGAGAAAAAAGUUAGAGGGGAGGAUAAAAAAUUACGGAAUGCCGCCGACGUAACCGUUCCAUGCUUGACAUCACAUACUGUGAAACAAGAAAUGUGUACCACGAGUUAAUUAAUAUAGCACCA